GAUGAACGCUGGCGGCGUGCCUAAUACAUGCAAGUCGAGCGAACAGACGAGGAGCUUGCUCCUCUGACGUUAGCGGCGGACGGGUGAGUAACACGUGGAUAACCUACCUAUAAGACUGGGAUAACUUCGGGAAACCGGAGCUAAUACCGGAUAAUAUAUUGAACCGCAUGGUUCAAUAGUGAAAGACGGUUUUGCUGUCACUUAUAGAUGGAUCCGCGCCGCAUUAGCUAGUUGGUAAGGUAACGGCUUACCAAGGCAACGAUGCGUAGCCGACCUGAGAGGGUGAUCGGCCACACUGGAACUGAGACACGGUCCAGACUCCUACGGGAGGCAGCAGUAGGGAAUCUUCCGCAAUGGGCGAAAGCCUGACGGAGCAACGCCGCGUGAGUGAUGAAGGUCUUCGGAUCGUAAAACUCUGUUAUUAGGGAACAAAUGUGUAAGUAACUAUGCACGUCUUGACGGUACCUAAUCAGAAAGCCACGGCUAACUACGUG
rnacentral:rRNA from 1 species